GCUCUUAUUCUCCAUGGACUUUACAGUGUUUUUUGAUCCUUCGAUGUCGGCUCUUCCUAUCAUUGUGAAGCAGAAUUCACCAAGCGUUGGAUUGUUCACCCACUAAUAGGGAACGUGAGCUGGGUUUUAGACCGUCGUGAGACAGGUU
rnacentral:ncRNA from 1 species